rnacentral:rRNA from 1 species
AUGUCUACAUCAGAGGGUUCAGAGAGUGCUGAUUCCAUGGAUGAGGAUACGAGUCAAGUACCACAUGCUAGAAGGUCCAAGGUAUGGGAGCAUUAUGAAGUAGAUCUGGUUCUCGUAGAUGGUGAUCUCAAGGCUGUGUGCAAAUACUGUGGAGUGCAACUUCACACCAAGUUUGGGACAAGCAGUUUGAGGACCCAUAUUGCAGAGGCUUGCCGAUCAAUUCCGGAUGCUUGCAGGAAGAGGUUUUAG